rnacentral:pre_miRNA from 1 species
UUGUGCAAGAUGGAGAAGCAGGGCACGUGCAUUACCAGCUAUCUAACAACAUUCCUUCCACCUCAGAAGUUUUAGAUAGCUAGUAAUUCAUGUGCCCAUCUUCUCCACCAAGCACAC